CAUUAUUUUAGAUCUAUUUGAAAGUAUAAUAUCUUGGCACAGUUCAUAUAGGAAGAUUGAUCCAUCACUGGAAAACUCUGGCACAGACUGCAGACAGUGAAAAACCUUUGUGUGGAUCUGCUUUGGGUCACCAUCUCUGCAUGAAACCAGCUCAUGAUGGGCAAUUCCUUUCUCUCUUCUCCAGUGUCAGGCUGCCAAGAGAGGUUCAGUGCACCCACUGGAAAAUGAGAAACCCUUCAAACACAGAAGCAGAAGAGUAAUGCAAACUUGCUGCAUUUCUAUGUCUGGACAUGAACUAUCAACUGAUACCCAGGUACCUGCCAUGCUUAGGGAUUCUUAAAAAAUGCAUCCAGCAUCACAGCUUGAGCCUCUUUUUGGUUCUAAGUGGCACUUCCUUAACCCUGGAGCUGAUUGAUGAAGAACAUCAGGUGGAGAGUUAUUUUUUCCUCUGACUUCUCAGAGCAACAUGGGCAGGUGAGCUGGAACUUCUCAUACUAGUGAGCAGCUGAGCUGAGCAGCCAAGCAGACUGACAAUUGGGAUCUGCAGCUCUGGUAUCACUUCCUAAAAUCAGUAGUGGUUUCCUUCAUGCCCUCUCUUGCCAAGCUGCAGCCUGCCAAAUAGUUUGCUGUGGCACAGUUGAGAUCUGCUCAAGGGCUUGUGAGUCUUUGUGUCUCUGCUAGAGCUAUGGCUAUGUUUAGCAGGAGGCAUUUCAAGCCCUUUUCCAGAUUUUCAGUAUUCCAGCUUAAGGCAUAUUCUUCAUACACUGAUUUUCUAUCUACCUGAAUGUAUUUCAAAAUCAGAGAUGAACACAUACCUGUUUGUGUGCUGGCACAUACGUACACACACUUCGAAUGUUUAGGUCCAAAAUGUCAAGCCAGAGCUGCUGUAGAGCCCUUCAGUUUGCCUUUGCAGUGAACCUUCAUUGGAUGUCUACCUGCCCCCUAAGUCAGCGUUUGUGAGGGAUCUGUUGACUGCACCCUGAUAUUUAUAUUCAGGGAAAAAACAGUUUCUGUCAAAACGUUGGUGAACCUCCUGAUAAAUUAAUACAGCAAAUCCUAAAAAAAUCAGUGUGUUCUGUUAUUCUUUACAUUCCACAGUUUGGUGGUUUGUAAGUGUAUACAGUAUGCUGCUACAGGGUCUUCUUCACAGAAGGUAGUUGCUAACGGGGCUUCACUAUUUCAACUUGCAUCCCUAGAUAUUGAAACACAAAUAAAGAUAUAGCUUUAUAUUAAGAUAAACUUGAUUAAUGAGGUAGGCCUCCCUACCUGCUGCAAGGCAAUGACAGUCACCUGGGAGCCUCUGGGGACAAUGCCUUGCUGUGCCUGCUCUCAGGGUGAGAGUGCCUCUAGCGCCUGGCAGAGCUUUUGGUGGGGUUGAAGUGACUUCAGAGAGUUAGUAGGGCCUUACUCCUUUGCAAUAAGUCUUCUUUCCUCUGCUGCAGCCUAAGGUGAGCUGGCUAUGUGAUGAAAGAUGAGCAUUGCCCCAAACAAGUAUGAUUCACCACCCAUCUGGAGUUAUUGUGCCACAUUACGUGAUUACAGGGUAUCCAGGUGGCAGAGCAGAGCAGAGCAAGUUCUCCUGUAUGGAGAAUCUGCCUGCCAAAGAUAGUACUGGAGAAGUGUUAAAAGCAGAGACACAUCACGAGAGGUUGGGUUCCUCACUCUUGUGUCUCCCCUCUCAUGGGAAUUGAAGACCUGAGAGAAAUUGUUAUAGUCUUUCACAAGUUGUGAAGAACAGCUGAUGUAGAUUAUCGACCACAAGGCAAGGAAAAGGGUUUCAGAAGUCCCUAGAGCUGUGGGACCCUGGCUGCAGGGUGUCAUGAAUUGUUCUUCUGCCUGGUAGAAAAGGAGGCCGGAGCUGCUGGCGAAUCGCUUUCCAGGAAAUCUCUAUGACGGGACCCCGACCGGGAUUUAAGAUGGCGCGGGGACGAGGUGAAUCGCUUCCUAACGCCCCUCUGUCCCGCUGGCCACGCUCGGGCCGCUGCAGGCCUGCUUCUACGGGUGAAACAGAACGACUGAGCAACCCCGGGCGAUGCUGGUCACCCGGUGGGGCAUCCCCGAAACAAGCACGCCCGGCCCGACCUGGCCGCGCCCUUGGGGGGAGAAGAUGGCGGCGACGCGGCCCAAUCAGCGCACGGCCACGGCUCGC